CCGCAGGAUUUCUCGACGGACGACAUUCGGGCAAGAGGAUGUUUCGGGGCGAACGGGUAUGUUCUACUGUAUAAGUAAAAUUGUUUAACGGCAAUUGAUAUGCGGGCGAAAUAUUGUCAACGAAACCUAACCAACGGACAGGAUCGCCGAUAAAUCGCUCCGUCGUACGAAAAUAACGCAUCGGUUUUGUCGCGACGUCGGCACGGAAAGUUGUCGGCCACACGGUUUUACCGUCUGCGAACCAGCGUGUCACUGUCCUGUCUCCGUCCAGUACGACACACCCAAUCAGCG